CGAUGAGUAGGGCGGGACACGUGGUAUCCUGUCUGAAUAUGGGGGGACCAUCCUCCAAGGCUAAAUACUCCUGACUGACCGAUAGUGAACCAGUACCGUGAGGGAAAGGCGAAAAGAACCCCGGCGAGGGGAGUGAAAAAGAACCUGAAACCGUGUACGUACAAGCAGUGGGAGCACGCUUCGGCGUGUGACUGCGUACCUUUUGUAUAAUGGGUCAGCGACUUAUAUUCUGUAGCAAGGUUAACCGAAUAGGGGAGCCGAAGGGAAACCGAGUCUUAACUGGGCGUUAAGUUGCAGGGUAUAGACCCGAAACCCGGUGAUCUAGCCAUGGGCAGGUUGAAGGUUGGGUAACACUAACUGGAGGACCGAACCGACUAAUGUUGAAAAAUUAGCGGAUGACUUGUGGCUGGGGGUGAAAGGCCAAUCAAACCGGGAGAUAGCUGGUUCUCCCCGAAAGCUAUUUAGGUAGCGCCUCGUGAAUUCAUCUCCGGGGGUAGAGCACUGUUUCGGCAAGGGGGUCAUCCCGACUUACCAACCCGAUGCAAACUGCGAAUACCGGAGAAUGUUAUCACGGGAGACACACGGCGGGUGCUAACGUCCGUCGUGAAGAGGGAAACAACCCAGACCGCCAGCUAAGGUCCCAAAGUCAUGGUUAAGUGGGAAACGAUGUGGGAAGGCCCAGACAGCCAGGAUGUUGGCUUAGAAGCAGCCAUCAUUUAAAGAAAGCGUAAUAGCUCACUGGUCGAGUCGGCCUGCGCGGAAGAUGUAACGGGGCUAAACCAUGCACCGAAGCUGCGGCAGCGACACUAUGUGUUGUUGGGUAGGGGAGCG
rnacentral:rRNA from 1 species